GGCUGAUUCCGGUUAAAUCAAUAGACGGAACUAAGCAUGUAGAUCCUCUGGCGGAGUGCUGACGGACGCGGGUUCAAAUCCCGCCGGCUCCACCA
rnacentral:tRNA from 1 species